UAUAUAUAAUAGAGAAAAAAAAAAAAAAAAAAAAGAAUAUCUUUUUCUUUUCAUCAAUUUCUCUCUUUCUUCCUUCCUGGGUUUGUUCUUGCUUUUGGCUUCGGUGAAACAAAGGAAAAAGGCGUAGGAAAUAUAUAAUGGGCUACGUGGUGAUAAUUCCGCUCUGGAUGCUGUUGUUCGUUGUGAUCGUGGGCCUUACUGUUUACCUAUUAGUAAGGGCCCAUAGACGAAGGCAAGCAGCCCAAAUGCCAGUAUAUUACGGGCCUCCUGCUCCCCCAUUGCAAGCCCAAGAUAAGCCCAAUUGAUCUAUCCAAUACAAUUCUCGUACUAGUAUGUUCUGUUGUGUGUGCGCUUUUUUUUUUCGAGAAUGUUUCUUCUUUGUAGAUAUUAAAAUUCUAUCUUGGACUGUUACUAUUUUGUAUAGAAUUAAAUAAAUGAAUUUGAAUUGGAACUUAAUUUAUUGAUAUAUUUUAGCUCA